rnacentral:rRNA from 1 species
CCAGGGCGCAGCUACACAUGCAGUCGAGCGGUAGCACAGAGAGCUUGCUCUCGGGUGACGAGCGGCGGACGGGUGAGUAAUGUCUGGGAAACUGCCUGAUGGAGGGGGAUAACUACUGGAAACGGUAGCUAAUACCGCAUAACGUCGCAAGACCAAAGUGGGGGACCUUCGGGCCUCAUGCCAUCAGAUGUGCCCAGAUGGGAUUAGCUAGUAGGUGGGGUAACGGCUCACCUAGGCGACGAUCCCUAGCUGGUCUGAGAGGAUGACCAGCCACACUGGAACUGAGACACGGUCCAGACUCCUACGGGAGGCAGCAGUGGGGAAUAUUGCACAAUGGGCGCAAGCCUGAUGCAGCCAUGCCGCGUGUGUGAAGAAGGCCUUCGGGUUGUAAAGCACUUUCAGCGGGGAGGAAGGCGUUAAGGUUAAUAACCUUGUCGAUUGACGUUACCCGCAGAAGAAGCACCGGCUAACUCCGUGCCAGCAGCCGCGGUAAUACGGAGGGUGCAAGCGUUAAUCGGAAUUACUGGGCGUAAAGCGCACGCAGGCGGUCUGUCAAGUCGGAUGUGAAAUCCCCGGGCUCAACCUGGGAACUGCAUUCGAAACUGGCAGGCUAGAGUCUUGUAGAGGGGGGUAGAAUUCCAGGUGUAGCGGUGAAAUGCGUAGAGAUCUGGAGGAAUACCGGUGGCGAAGGCGGCCCCCUGGACAAAGACUGACGCUCAGGUGCGAAAGCGUGGGGAGCAAACAGGAUUAGAUACCCUGGUAGUCCACGCCGUAAACGAUGUCGAUUUGGAGGUUGUGCCCUUGAGGCGUGGCUUCCGGAGCUAACGCGUUAAAUCGACCGCCUGGGGAGUACGGCCGCAAGGUUAAAACUCAAAUGAAUUGACGGGGGCCCGCACAAGCGGUGGAGCAUGUGGUUUAAUUCGAUGCAACGCGAAGAACCUUACCUGGUCUUGACAUCCACAGAACUUUCCAGAGAUGGAUUGGUGCCUUCGGGAACUGUGAGACAGGUGCUGCAUGGCUGUCGUCAGCUCGUGUUGUGAAAUGUUGGGUUAAGUCCCGCAACGAGCGCAACCCUUAUCCUUUGUUGCCAGCGGUCCGGCCGGGAACUCAAAGGAGACUGCCAGUGAUAAACUGGAGGAAGGUGGGGAUGACGUCAAGUCAUCAUGGCCCUUACGACCAGGGCUACACACGUGCUACAAUGGCAUAUACAAAGAGAAGCGACCUCGCGAGAGCAAGCGGACCUCAUAAAGUAUGUCGUAGUCCGGAUUGGAGUCUGCAACUCGACUCCAUGAAGUCGGAAUCGCUAGUAAUCGUAGAUCAGAAUGCUACGGUGAAUACGUUCCCGGGCCUUGUACACACCGCCCGUCACACCAUGGGAGUGGGUUGCAAAAGAAGUAGGUAGCUUAACCUUCGGGAGGGCGCUUACCACUUUGAUUCCGGG